GCGGGUAUAACCAACUGGAAAGGUAGUAGACUGCAAAUCUACGUAUAUGGGUUCAAUUCCCAUUACCCGCU
rfam:Listeria phage A511, complete genome.